rnacentral:rRNA from 1 species
UACGGAGGGUGCAAGCGUUAUCCGGAUUCACUGGGUUUAAAGGGUGCGUAGGCGGGCAGGUAAGUCAGAGGUGAAAUCUCCGGCUUAACCCGGAAACUGCCUUUGAUACUAUCUGUCUUGAAUAUGGUGGAGGUAAGCGGAAUAUGUCAUGUAGCGGUGAAAUGCUUAGAGAUGACAUAGAACACCUAUUGCGAAGGCAGCUUACUACGCCUAUAUUGACGCUGAGGCACGAAAGCGGUGGGGAUCAAACAGG